rnacentral:rRNA from 1 species
GACGAACGCUGGCGGCGUGCUUAACACAUGCAAGUCGAACGGAAAGGCCCUGCUUUUGUGGGGUGCUCGAGUGGCGAACGGGUGAGUAACACGUGAGUAACCUGCCCUUGACUUUGGGAUAACUUCAGGAAACUGGGGCUAAUACCGGAUAGGAGCCCCUGCUGCAUGGAGGGGGUUGGAAAGUUUCGGCGGUCGGGGAUGGACGCGCGGCUGAUCAGCUAGUUGGUGGGGUAGGGGCUUACCAAGGCUUUGGCGGGUCGCCGGCAUGAGAGGGUGACCGGCCACAAUGGGACUAAGGGACGGACCAGAGUCCUACGGGAGGCAGCAGUGGGGAAUAUUGCACAAUGGGCGGAAGCCGGAUGCAGCAACGCCGCGGGCGGGAUGACGGCCUUCGGGUAAAAGACCGCUUUCGCCUGUGACGAAGCGUGAGUGACGGUAAUGGGUAAAGAAGCACCGGCUAACUACGUG